UGGGGAAUAUUGCACAAUGGGGAAAGCCCUGAUGCAGCGACGCCGCGUGAGUGAAGAAGUAUUUCGGUAUGUAAAGCUCUAUCAGCAGGGAAGAAAAUGACGGUACCUGACUAAGAAGCCCCGGCUAACUACGUGCCAGCAGCCGCGGUAAUACGUAGGGGGCAAGCGUUAUCCGGAUUUACUGGGUGUAAAGGGAGCGUAGACGGCUGUGCAAGUCUGAUGUGAAAGGCAGGGGCUCAACUCCUGGACUGCAUUGGAAACUGUGUAGCUUGAGUGCCGGAGAGGUAAGCGGAACUCCUAGUGUAGCGGUGAAAUGCGUAGAUAUUAGGAGGAACACCAGUGGCGAAGGCGGCUUACUGGACGGUAACUGACGUUGAGGCUCGAAAGCGUGGGGAGCAAACAGGAUUAGAUACCC
rnacentral:rRNA from 1 species